rnacentral:rRNA from 1 species
ACUUUCAGCAACGGAUCUCUUGGCUCUCGCAUCGAUGAAGAACGCAGCGAAAUGCGAUAAGUAAUGUGAAUUGCAGAAUUCAGUGAAUCAUCGAAUCUUUGAACGCACCUUGCGCUCCUUGGUAUUCCGAGGAGCAUGCCUGUUUGAGUGUCAUGG